UUUUUACUCUAAAAUAGAGUAAGCCAUUGGAGAUGGUCUUAAUGGUGUAAUGUUUUAACUGAAAACGUCUUCUAAAUCAUAAAAUCAAUUUGUCUAAAUAUUUUAUCUUAUAAUGCAACAACAACAAUGUUUGCUAAAAAAAAAAAAAAAAAUGCAACAACUACAGAUGAUAAAGAAAGGUUUUGAUGAUAAACCCCACUAAACGACAUUAGAACGUGUUAGAUAGAGAUGAUAACCCAUCAAGGAAAGUUUUAUUCACGCGCUUAUAUUUUUAAAUAGUCCGCGGAGAUAGUUGAAUAUUAUUAGGUGGUUACGUUACAUAAUAUUUGGCGCGUGGCGAAAGAAGCUUGUUGAGCUUUGUUGUAUGCGACCGAGUCAUCGUCGUCGUGCUCGCCCUCUCUCUCUCUCUUCUUGUUCAAGAGGAAGAAAGAAAACUUCUUGGAAAAAACUCGGAUCUCUCUUAUCAAUCACUCUUUUAUUCGGGAGCAACGUGAACAUGGCGUCUGUUUCUGCUUUGGCAAAGUUCAAGUUGGUGUUCUUAGGAGAUCAAUCUGUGGGCAAAACAAGCAUCAUCACCCGUUUCAUGUAUGAUAAAUUCGACACCUCUUACCAGCCUACCAUUGGGAUCGAUUUUCUGUCCAAAACAAUGUACCUCGAAGAUCGAACUGUUCGCUUGCAGCUUUGGGAUACGGCGGGACAAGAAAGAUUCAGGAGUCUGAUCCCAAGUUACAUCAGAGACUCUUCUGUUGCAAUUGUUGUGUAUGAUGUAGCCAAUAGGCAAACGUUUCUGAAUAUUCCGAAAUGGAUCGAUGAUGUACACAGAGAAAGAGGUGGUUCAGGCGACGUUAUUAUUGUCCUUGUUGGUAACAAAACUGAUCUUGUUGAUAAAAGACAAGUAUCGAUCAGUGAAGGGGAAGAAAAGGGUAAAGAGCAUGGAGUGAUGUUCAUUGAGACCAGCGCCAAAGAAAAUUUCAACAUUAAGGCUUUGUUCAGGAAGAUAGCUGCAGCACUGCCUGGGAUGGAUUCAUAUUCGUCGGCGACAAAAUCAGACAAUAUGGUUGAUGUGAACCUAAAGAACACUUCAAGUUCAUCACAAGGUGAGCAACAAGGAGGAGGUGGUGGAGGCGGCUGUUCUUGUUGAUUUCAUAAAUUUAAUUAAAAGAAAAAACAUAUUCCGUUUAAGACACUUGUGAAGCCAGAAAAAAAAAACAAACAAAAAGGAUCAAGAAAGUUUUUUCUUUUGUGAUUUUUCAUUUUUUCUAUCUUAUACAUACAUUAUAUCAUAUUACAAACUAUAGAAUAUGAUGAUGGAACUCCAGAGAAAGGAAUUAAUAGGGGAGCUUUUGAGGAAUAUAUAGAACUUACUAGACACUUAGGGUCUGACUGGUGACCAUUUGAGAAACAAGAGGAACGGAUUAAAAAGGAAUGUUCGGGAAUAAAAUAGCAGGAAUGAAAAGAAAUGGUUGUUCCUUAUCACUUUUAACAAGAAAUACUUUUGUUCUUUAAUUCUCUACAAAAAAAAGAAUGAAAGGGAAUGAGAGGGAAUUAUUAUUCCUUCUGAAUGGUGAUUUUUUUCAGGAACGUUAGGGAAUGCAUUAUUCCUCGCCGUUCCCUGGUCACCAUUCAUACCCUUAGAUUUGACACUGGCGACAACUUCGUCAUGAUAUAACAAUACACAAUUCCUUCGCAGCAGGUACAUAUCUAAUGUAUUAAAACAGAAGUACAAAUUAAGACUAACCCUUAAAUUUGCACAAUAUUUACAAUCUAAUACCAUUGAAAUAAUUAAAUGAAUCUAUCUUUAAGUAAUAUUUAUCUUUUCUAAAAUUAAUGAAGUAAUAAUUACUCCUACUUCUAUGCUUUCCAUGUCUUUUUCAAAUUAAUAAAAUAUUUCCUAAAUAAAAUUCAUAAUCAAUUCAAUAUAAUUUUUUUAACUUAUCUAUUUCACAUUAACAUUAUAAACAUCAGUGAAUAUAAAAAAUAUACACAAAAUAUUUAUCUAACAAUAUAAGUUAUAUUUUGCCUCAUUCUCCCCCACAAAUCACGUUACUCUUUAUUUUUUUUGAACAAAUUCUUCUUCUUACCGAUAUAAAUAGAUCACAUGCACCAUUAUAUUAUUUACCAACUUACCAUGUAUAUAAAAGAAUUUAUUAGACAUUAUCGUAAAAUUUUGAUCUACAAAAAAAUAAAAUAAAACAUUUGCAUAGAUGCACGAAUUAUAUUUUAAAAAUGGUGGUAAUACAAUUGACGGUUUACAAAACAUAAUAAAAUUAAAAAAAAAACUAGAAAAUUAUUAUGCUUAUAAAUGUUAUUAAAUAAUUAUUUAACAUAGGUAAAAUUUUAAAAUAUAUACUAUCACUUAUUAAAAAUAAUUUAUUUACAAAAGUAAAAGCAAACAUCCGCAAAGUCAUGGUUUAAAUGUACAUAAACUUAAGUCUAUUUAUAAUUUCUUAUCAGUUACAUCAAAUUUAUAUUUUCAUUUUAUUUUCUUACAAAUUUAAAUCUUAAUUUGUAUAUGUUCCAAAUUUGAUAGAAGUUUAACAAUAAUUUUAUUUACUUACAAAUAUUAUAGCUAAUGUAUCAUUUAUAAAUAGUUUGCUAAUUCACAAUUGUCUAUUUUCGUACUUUUUAUUUAAAAACUUUUUUCGCUAUAUAUCUUAGUCAUUGCUAAUUCACAAUUGUCUAUUUUCGUACUUUUUAUUUAAAAACUUUUUUCGCUAUAUAUCUUAGUCAUGGAUCUAAUUAUAUAAAUGUUAUAUGUUUAUAUAAUACCCAAUAUUGGUGAUACAUUUUACAAUAAAAUGCUAAAAUAUAAAAUUAAGUACAAAUAUAGCAUUUACAUUUACAUUUACAAAUAUGACUACAUUUAUAAAUAUAUCAUUAAAUACAAACACAAAUUAAAUAUUCGCGCGGUCUCUCGGGUCAAGUUCUAGUAGUUAUUAAGGCCGAUGUCAGAAUGUAACUGAUUAAUAGAGUAAAGAUCAAUGCAACCAAAUUCUAUCACAUGAAUUUUGAAAAUCUCAUCGAUAGAUAUGAUAAUUUGAAAGUUGAGUCUUAUGAGUUAAAUGAAUAAAAUUUAUCUCUUAAUAACAGAAGAUUUAGUUAGAAGAAAAAAAUCAAUAAUAACUAAACUUUUUGAAUAACAAAGAAUUUGAAUGGAUUUUAAAAAUUCUUACACCAAUAAUAAUGGAAUUUCAAAAUUUUCAAAGUUCAUUAGAAUUCAUUUACCAAUAAACCCGUAACAAUAAUAACUAAAGUUUUUUAAUAACAAAAAUUUUGAAUGGAUUUUAAAAAUUCUUAAACUAAUAACAAUGGAAUUUCAAAAAAUUUAAAAUUCAUUAGAAUUCAUUUACCAAUAAACCGGUAAAUAAAAUUAGUCUCCCUCCACCCUCAAUAAUUAUCACAGUGUUUGAUUUUUGUAUGAUAUAUUUCCUUAUAAAAAUAGUCAAAUUCAAAUCGUUAGAAUCAAUUUUUUUACCAAAUUUAUUAAGAAGAAUAAGUUUGUUCAACGUAUCCUUUUGAUUUUUUUAUGAACUUACAUCACCAUUUUAACUAUAUAAAGGCCUAUUAGCUCUCUCAACAGAAUCCAACAACACCAAAACAUAAGAAUAUUCACAAACACUUUUAUCUAUACUAAUACUUCAGAAACACCAAAAAUGAACAAGAUCAAAUCCUUACUUUUUGUUAGCACCAUCACAGUAUUUAUGUUAUUGGCCAUAACAGAACAAAGCGCGGCCGAUGCUGAUCUCUCAUGUUUUGGGCCAUGUCCUGCUGAUUGCAAACAAUUUUGCUUGUCGAAAGGUUAUGGUGACGGGUUAUGUGAAGAUUUUAGAGGCAAGCAGGAUUGUUGCUGCACACCAGCAAAAAAACAAAUCUUUGAGAAAACAACGCAAUUGAACAACUAAAUGCAUUUUUGACAUUGUCUUUAAUGUGUAUGAUCAAUAUAUUAAGAAAAUCCCAAUAUAAGAAAUAUUUUUUAAGAAAUUA